rnacentral:tRNA from 1 species
GGAGGGAUACCCAAGCCUGGUUUAAGGGGACUGAUAUUUAUAUCAGUUAGAAGCUUUAUAGCUUGCGUUGGUUCAAAUCCUUCUCCCUCCG